rnacentral:rRNA from 1 species
UACGUAGGGGGCAAGCGUUGUCCGGAAUCAUUGGGCGUAAAGCGCGUGUAGGCGGCCAGAAAAGUCCGCUGUGAAAACUCGAGGCUCAACUUCGAGCUGUCGGUGGAAACUUUCUGGCUAGAGUCCGGAAGAGGAGAAUGGAAUUCCUGGUGUAGCGGUGAAAUGCGCAGAUAUCAGGAAGAACACCCGUGGCGAAGGCGGUUCUCUGGGACGGUACUGACGCUGGAGACGCGAAAGCGUGGGGAGCGAACGG